GCCGGCGUAGCUCAACGGAAGAGCAGCUGAUUUGUAAUCAGCAGGUUAAGGGUUCGAAUCCCUUCGCUGGCUCCA
rnacentral:tRNA from 1 species